rnacentral:sRNA from 1 species
GGCAGCCCUGGAAUCUAGUGCAAACCGCGCGUCUGGCCCCUCCUGCUUCCUUUUCACAUUGCUUUGCAGUCCCGGGCGUCCCCAGUUCUCUUGCUGCGCUCCGCUCCACUCUGCAGUCCCGGUGGGCGAAGGGUGAGGAGUAAGGGACCUAGAGGGGUAGGGAGUUGGAGCGGGGGGCGCCGGGUUGUUUCACUGCUGCGCCCGUCGCCUGCUGACGUUUAGGUCUCCCAGACCUGGUGGCCGACCCCUACUACAUCCAGGCGUCCACGUACGUGCAGAAGAUGUCCAUGUACAACCUGAGAUGCGCGGCGGAGGAAAACUGUCUGGCCAGUACAGCAUACAGGGCAGAUGUCAGAGAUUAUGAUCACAGGGUGCUGCUCAGAUUUCCCCAAAGAGUGAAAAACCAAGGGACAUCAGAUUUCUUACCCAGCCGACCAAGAUAUUCCUGGGAAUGGCACAGUUGUCAUCAACAUUACCACAGUAUGGAUGAGUUUAGCCACUAUGACCUGCUUGAUGCCAAUACCCAGAGAAGAGUGGCUGAAGGCCACAAAGCAAGUUUCUGUCUUGAAGACACAUCCUGUGACUAUGGCUACCACAGGCGAUUUGCAUGUACUGCACACACACAGGGAUUGAGUCCUGGCUGUUAUGAUACCUAUGGUGCAGACAUAGACUGCCAGUGGAUUGAUAUUACAGAUGUAAAACCUGGAAACUAUAUCCUAAAGGUCAGUGUAAACCCCAGCUACCUGGUUCCUGAAUCUGACUAUACCAACAAUGUUGUGCGCUGUGACAUUCGCUACACAGGACAUCAUGCGUAUGCCUCAGGCUGCACAAUUUCACCGUAUUAGAAGGCAAAGCAAAACUCCCAAUGGAUAAAUCAGUGCCUGGUGUUCUGAAGUGGGAAAAAAUAGAUUAACUUCAGUAGGAUUUAUGUAUUUUGAAAAACAGAACAGAAAACAACAAAAGAAUUUUUGUUUGGACUGUUUUCAAUAACAAAGCACAUAACUGGAUUUUGAACGCUUAAGUCAUCAUUACUUGGGAAAUUUUUAAUGUUUAUUAUUUACAUCACUUUGUGAAUUAACACAGUGUUUCAAUUCUGUAAUUACAUAUUUGACUCUUUCAAAGAAAUCCAAAUUUCUCAUGUUCCUUUUGAAAUUAUAGUGCAAAAUGGUCAGUAUUAUCUAAAUGAAUGAGCCAAAAUGACUUUGAACUGAAACUUUUCUAAAGUGCUGGAACUUUAGUGAAACAUAAUAGUAAUGGGUUUAUAUAUGUCAUAGCAUAGAUGAAUUUAGAAACAAUGCUCCUACUGUUUAAAUACAUAUGGACACAUCUGGUGCUGAUAAAGAAACAAACACAUUACCAUUGGUGUCAAGAAAUAUUACUAUAUAGCAGAGAAAUGGCAAUACAUGUACUCAGAUAGUUACAUCCCUAUAUAAAAAUUAUGUUUACAUUUAAAAAAUAAGUACAUAACUUUCUUUCUUUCAAGUGCACAAUUUCAUUUUGACUUGAGUCAAGUUUUGUUUUGGAACAAAUUAAGUAAGGGAGCUACCCAAUCCUGUCUGAUAUUUCUUGAGGCUGCCCUCUAUCAUUUUAUCUUUCCCAUGGGCAGAGAUGUUGUAAGUGGGAUUCUUAAUAUCACCAUUCUU